AUUGAACGCUGGCGGCAUGCCUUACACAUGCAAGUCGAACGGCAGCACGGACUUCGGUCUGGUGGCGAGUGGCGAACGGGUGAGUAAUGCAUCGGAACGUGCCAUUGAGUGGGGGAUAACGUAGCGAAAGUUGCGCUAAUACCGCAUAUUCUGUGAGCAGGAAAGCAGGGGACCGCAAGGCCUUGCGCGUCUUUGGAGCGGCCGAUGUCAGAUUAGCUAGUUGGUGAGGUAAAGGCUUACCAAGGCGACGAUCUGUAGCGGGUCUGAGAGGAUGAUCCGCCACACUGGAACUGAGACACGGUCCAGACUCCUACGGGAGGCAGCAGUGGGGAAUUUUGGACAAUGGGGGCAACCCUGAUCCAGCCAUGCCGCGUGAGUGAAGAAGGCCUCGG
rnacentral:rRNA from 1 species